CGGGGUGCAGCAGGCGCGAAAACUUUACAAUGCGGGAAACCGUGAUAGGGGAACUCCGAGUGCCCGUUAAAUCGGGCUGUCCAUCAGUUUAAAUAACUGGUGAAGAAAGGGCCGGGCAAGACCGGUGCCAGCCGCCGCGGUAAUACCGGCGGCUCGAGUGGUGGCCACUAUUACUGGGCUUAAAGCGUUCGUAGCUGGUUUGUUAAGUCUCUGGGGAAAUCUUCCGGCUUAACCGGAAGGCGUUUCAGGGAUACUGGCAGACUAGGGACCGGGAGAGGUGAGGGGUACUCCAGGGGUAGGAGUGAAAUCCUGUAAUCCUUGGGGGACCACCUGUGGCGAAGGCGCCUCACCAGAACGGCUCCGACAGUGAGGGACGAAAGCUGGGGGAGCAAACCGGAUUAGAUACCCGGGUAGUCCCAGCCGUAAACGAUGUGCGUUAGGUGUAUCGGUGACCACGAGUCACCGAGGUGCCGAAGAGAAAUCGUGAAACGUACCGCCUGGGAAGUACGGUCGCAAGGCUGAAACUUAAAGGAAUUGGCGGGGGAGCACAAGGGCGAUUCGCG
rnacentral:rRNA from 1 species